rnacentral:tRNA from 1 species
CCUGCUAGCUCAGAUGGUAGAGAAUCUGCCUGCAAUGCAGAAGACCAGGGUUUGAUCCCUGGGUCAGGA